rnacentral:misc_RNA from 1 species
UGGAAGUAAAAAGUCGUAACAAGGUUUCCGUAGGUGAACCUGCGGAAGGAUCAUUACCGAGUGCGGGCUGCCUCCGGGCGCCCAACCUCCCACCCGUGACUACCUAACACUGUUGCUUCGGCGGGGAGCCCCCUAGGGGCGAGCCGCCGGGGACCACUGAACUUCAUGCCUGAGAGUGAUGCAGUCUGAGCCUGAAUACAAAUCAGUCAAAACUUUCAACAAUGGAUCUCUUGGUUCCGGCAUCGAUGAAGAACGCAGCGAACUGCGAUAAGUAAUGUGAAUUGCAGAAUUCAGUGAAUCAUCGAGUCUUUGAACGCACAUUGCGCCCCCUGGCAUUCCGGGGGGCAUGCCUGUCCGAGCGUCAUUGCUGCCCUCAAGCCCGGCUUGUGUGUUGGGUCGUCGUCCCCCCCGGGGGACGGGCCCGAAAGGCAGCGGCGGCACCGUGUCCGGUCCUCGAGCGUAUGGGGCUUUGUCACCCGCUCGAUUAGGGCCGGCCGGGCGCCAGCCGGCGUCUCCAACCUUAUUUUUCUCAGGUUGACCUCGGAUCAGGUAGGGAUACCCGCUGAACUUAAGCAUAUCAAUAAGCCGGAGGAA